rnacentral:rRNA from 1 species
UGAAACCGUUUAGGGGUAAACCUGAGAAACCCGAAAGGUCGAAGGAAGAAAUUCAUUCGUGCCCGAUAAGGUUAUUAUGCGGUAUUUUUGGUGUCGAUUAAUGAAUUCGCGUUCAUUUUUCGCCCUGCCGUAUGAUAUGUGUACCUUGUUGGACGCGUGCACUUUUCUUCUGGUAGGACGUUGCGAUCUGUUGAGUGUUGAUCUACGAUUCGGGUGGUAGCCCAUUUAUAUUGUACACCCCCGGGUAUAUAAUAUAAAUGGACCCCUAUAAUCUGAUCAACUGGCUCGACGGUAUCAAUUGAAUGAUUUUAGGCCGCUCUUGAAGCGUUCGGCUUGUGGCAAGCACGUUAAAUGUAUUGGUACAUCGGACCUAGUGCCGUGUCUGAUCUUUAACGUCUGUUGGCUACUUUGUCUCGAACAGACCUACUAAUUUAAAAAGAAAUCAAUCUGCAACGAUAUAGCUUUGGGUAAUUUCAGGACCCGUCUUGAAACACGGACCAAGGAGUCUAGCAUGUACGCAAGUCAUUGGGAAUGAAUAAACCUAAAGGCGUAAUGAAAGUAAACGUUUGUCUUUAUGAUAAACGAUGGGAAGAUGGGCGUUUUAACUUAAUCGGUUGACGUUCAGCAUUCCCGGGGCGUCUCAUUCUCAUUACGAGAAGAGGCGCACCAUGAGCGUACACGCUGGGACCCGAAAGAUGGUGAACUAUGCCUGGUCAGGACGAA